GCUGAGAGAUUGAAGUCCCUGGGAACGAGGUUAUGGGGCAACGUGACAGACCCGAGGGAAGUAAAUCACCAGAACCGAUGACAUUUUUCCAGAUGGAAACAGAACGGAAGGUCUAAUCAGGAAGAGGAAUGAGGGUCUAACUCAGCAAGGUUUACCGAUGGCUGCAGGAAAGCUGCUGACGUGACCCUCCUCUCCAAGGACAGAGGAGCUAGGACACUGCGAAGACCUGCCGAGAGCAGAGGGCCACACCACAGGACAGGCGGAGCCUCCCCCACAGGCCUGCUGGCUCCGUCGUCCUCGCUUUUGCACUCGGGGAGCGUGGCUUGGAUUCCCGCCAGGCAACCUUGCACACAGCUCCACCCAACAGAGGCUGUGCUUUUUGACUGGAACCGUGAACCAAGCUCCUGACCAACGCGGCCCACCUGCCCUCCGAGCCAGAAGUUGGUGCUCAGCAGCAGGUCAUCAGCCAGGCAGGCCCAGGGUAAAAACCCGGAGUGUCUCUCCAGCCUCAAGGAAAUCGUGCUGCCUCCACACUGGGCACUUCCCGUGA
rnacentral:lncRNA from 1 species